rnacentral:lncRNA from 1 species
UUCUUGUGUUCAAUGUAUCACUUUAUGGACAUUAAAAAUAUUUUCUAUAUAAAUACAAGAUCAAAAUAGGUUAACACAAACAAAUCAUACACACAACAUGGCUUCCCAUCUUAAAGGUGUGAAAAAAACAACAAUGACAGACGAGAUUCGAAGAUCCUUUUUCAAGAAACCUUCAUAAAUCAUUCAUGUAAUAUGCUAUAUAUAAGGAAUUAUUAAUUUAUAUUUUAUAUGGGGUCUAAAGAAAUUAUCAAAAAUGUAUUAUCUUAUAAUUUUAGCGAAUUAUUAAUUUAGCACCCUAUCC